CGAGAAGUCGACUUAUUUUUCCACGUUGUCUCGAUAAAACGACAAUACGGUGAACCGGGAGUCCCAGUCUUUCACCAGACAGCGAUGCUCCGCUGCCACGGACCACAGACAGAGUGUCUGACCCAGACUGUGUCUGUUCUGGAGCAGCUCAAAGAACUGCAACAACCUCGCCAGAUUCACCAGGUGGACAAAGAUGCUGGUGGGAUGAAGGAUGAGGAAGCCCUGUCAAAGUCUCUUCCUCAUCUGGAGCCGUGUGGAGGCCAUCUUUACACUUUCUGCUCUUGCUCAGUUUCAUGCCGUUUUAUUUUCAUGACAAAAUCUUGUCAGAUCCUGAAUAAUUUUAUUGUAGAAUAUCAUUGUCAACAAAGAUUCUAUUUUUGUAUUAAACUGUUUGAAA